CCUACGGGAGGCUGCAGUGGGGAAUAUUGGACAAUGGGGGCAACCCUGAUCCAGCCAUGCCGCGUGUGUGAAGAAGGCCCUCGGGUUGUAAAGCACUUUCAGUGAGGAAGAACGCCUGGUGGUUAAUACCCAUCAGGAAAGACAUCACUCACAGAGGAAGCACCGGCUAACUCCGUGCCAGCAGCCGCGGUAAUACGGAGGGUGCGAGCGUUAAUCGGAAUUACUGGGCGUAAAGCGCGCGUAGGUGGCUUGAUAAGCCGGUUGUGAAAGCCCCGGGCUCAACCUGGGAACGGCAUCCGGAACUGUCAAGCUAGAGUGCAGGAGAGGAAGGUAGAAUUCCCGGUGUAGCGGUGAAAUGCGUAGAGAUCGGGAGGAAUACCAGUGGCGAAGGCGGCCUUCUGGACUGACACUGACACUGAGGUGCGAAAGCGUGGGUAGCAAACAGGAUUAGAUACCCUAGUAGUC
rnacentral:rRNA from 1 species